rnacentral:rRNA from 1 species
CCUACGGGCGGCAGCAGUGGGGAAUAUUGGACAAUGGGCGAAAGCCUGAUCCAGCCAUGCCGCGUGUGUGAAGAAGGCCUUCGGGUUGUAAAGCACUUUCAGUGGGGAAGAAAGCCUUGGGGCUAAUACCCUCGAGGAAGGACAUCACCCACAGAAGAAGCACCGGCUAACUCCGUGCCAGCAGCCGCGGUAAUACGGAGGGUGCGAGCGUUAAUCGGAAUUACUGGGCGUAAAGCGCGCGUAUGCGGUCUGAUAAGCCGGUUGUGAAAGCCCCGGGCUCAACCUGGGAACGGCAUCCGGAACUGUCAGGCUAGAGUGCAGGAGAGGAAGGUAGAAUUCCCGGUGUAGCGGUGAAAUGCGUAGAGAUCGGGAGGAAUACCAGUGGCGAAGGCGGCCUUCUGGACUGACACUGACGCUGAGGUGCGAAAGCGUGGGUAGCAAACAGGAUUAGAUACCCUGGUAGUC